AGUCCUUCAAAUUGGGUUUAAUCUGAAAAGAUUAGACCCAUUGAAACGUUUUUUUGUUAGACUAAGACCUUGAAUCUAAACACAUUGGUAUAAGAAAAUAAGAACCAAAAUUUUGAGUCAAGGUCAAAUAUUGGUCUAAAAGAGGUUUAACAGCAGCAUAUGGAAUGCAGCACAUGAGGAACAAAUCCAUUUGAUUUACCAAUGUGUUUCUGAAUUCUUAGUUGAACCCACAUUCACCUUCAUACACUUAAAUGAAAGAAGCUACCUUCUUACACCAGUAAUCAGUGUAUAACCCAUUUCACUAAUUUGCUAACUUGAUCCUCUUAAAUAUACAUUAUGUUCUAAUCCAUAUAUAGUCAAUUUGCAUUUUUGCGUAUCCAAACCUAUAAAAGAGCAUUCAAUGGGGCUUUUCACAAUUAUUCCAUAGUCCACACAAAAAGAGAAACAAAAAAAAGAGAGCCAGAGAGAUGGAAAGAAGCAUCGCCAAGAUGAACAAAGUAAGCCGACCGGAAGCCUGGAUUUCGCAGUUUUACGCUACUCAAUCCAGGAAUAUGCAGCCUAAAGAAAUUAAUCAUAGUGCACCAAACCUAGAAACCUCUCUUUCUCCCCCCUGCUACAGAUCCAUGGGAGACCAAAGCAGUGUUAUUGACUACUUGUUUUGUAUGUAUAGCUCUACCUAGUAUACAGUCAAGCAUGCAUGCCAAGGCAAAAAACGAUAUCUCAAUCUCCUCCGAAGUUGGUGUUCGAAUUGGUGGUCAUUGGUGUUCGAAUUGGUGGUGGGUCUGGCAAAUUGGAGAUGAGGUGUUCUGGCGAAAACGCCCUAAGGAACCACAUAGGUGCUCGUGGUCGAGUGUUAUGGUCCGAUGAUUUCGUGAUCAGUAAGGAUUUGGUGGAUGAUUAUGUAGAUAGUAAUUAAAGGAAGCGUCUAAACCAUGAUGUUUUUAUGCAAAGACAAUGAUAAAAUCAACAUAAAGCUUGUUAUUUCUCUUGCCAAAAAGUAUUAGUGUUCUAGAAUGAAUCGUCAACAUCUUGUUCAGGGAAAAAUCUCGAUGGCAGCAACGUCCUGAACGACUCCAAUAUCCUACAGCGACUUUUCUUGUGAAUCUCUCUAUACUUUCCUUCUUUAACUUUAAAUUAUAUUUGCUUAACUAUGAUCUGUAUCCAUUUUUGUCUGUAUGAUGCUGUGAAGCGACGUCUUGAAUGUUUAUGUAAACACACUAACACCAGACGCCAGAUAUCAGAUUAUAAGUCAUUUCCAAAGAAUCAGCCUUGAAGUAAAGUAAAGGUACUUGAACUUCAAUGAAGGAUGUAGCUCUGAAACUAAAGACCUUGUUGAAGAUAAAGCUAUAUAUGACAUCACCAAUGUUUCAUGGAGGAAGCCUCCAGAAAAUGAUGAUGCCUUUGUAUCCUCAGAAGGCAAGAAAUACAAGAAUGGCUUUAGAAGUAUUAUUAAUGAUUUUAUUCCAAACUGCAUCUUUCCAGAAGGGCUUCUUUUUGCUCAAAGCCUUUUUUGUGCAAAAACUGCCUUGGAAUUCUACAAUGAUAAACGUGGUACAGAUAUAAGCUUUUUGAACCUAGUCUAGUUGUCGGUAUCUGGAAAGUGUUCUUCGCUUCGAUUGCAACUUCUUUGCUUCAAAGGUGAAGGAGAAUGGCUCUUGGACUCGACCAAAGCUUUUCUUGGGUUCAUUUUGCUGAGUACAAAUAAAAUCGUUGAUAUUCAUUGCAACAUCAUUAGCCUUAAGUUCAUUGAUUUCCUCUUAUUGCUAUGAAUCGGCUACAGCAUUUUACAUGUGCUGUGAGUUCCCCCCCCCCCCCCGAUCUUGCUCAUUCUACUCGACGUUGUUGGCGCUAUAAAAUUUUUAGCUUGUUUGCAAGGAAUUUAGAGGAAUAUAAUGCUUUGAAAAACAGAAUCUAUGCAAAGAUGGCUUUGGAUUUUUUAAACAAGAAACAUGGCACCAAGUUUAAACUGGUGAAAUCUUUGAGAAGCAGUAUUCUACCUGUGAGCUAUGGUGUCUAUAAAUUUCACUGGAACUUCAAGGCAAAGCAUGAGAACACUGACAGCUCUGAAUCUGAUGAUGAUUCUCAUAAGAAGUAUUUAUUUUUUGGUGAUAUCAUAAAGUCAACUCUCUCUACUGAAGGGGAGUUUCACAUAUUAGAAAAUACUGAAGAUUUGGAUGAUCACUGCUCAAUCUGCCGAAACGGUGUUUUACAUCCACCUCAUUAUAGAAAUUCCGGCCAUUCCUCAUGAUUAGAUGUCUUUGAUGGUGCCUAUCGUGUUCAAAUUGGCCUUCUCUUAGAUGUUACUCUGUAGUCUAUCUUACACAAACUAAGAUCAGACAUCAGACUAAUUUUGACUCAUAACACAUGUUUCUUGUACUUUACAUAUGGGUGUGGUUUUAAUUAUGAUGUCUGUGGUCUUUUAAUUUAUCGUUUAGUUUACCAAAA